CAGAUACAUCUACGAAAUCCGGAGAGGCAGCCGUAUCCAAGAAAGACCAAGACACAGGUGUAAUGUGUUUGGGGGCGUUGUGCUGCAGGUCCAUGAGGAAGUCACACAAGCCCCAUAGUCCAAGUGUAGGAUGACGGUAACAGCUUUAAGCCAGCACAUUACUCCCAGCUGAAAAUCCCAGUGGUUUCCCCAGUACUCAGCUGCACAGAGGGCGAGCAGAAGUGGCCCAAAC